ACUAGCAUAUAGUUGGUAAUU
rnacentral:miRNA from 12 species